UCGAGAAUAUUCGACAAUGGGCGAAAGCCUGAUCGAGCGACACCGCGUGGUGGAUGAAGUCCCUCGGGACGUAAACAUCUUUUAUGAGGGAGGAAGUUAUUGACGUUACCUCAUGAAUAAGGGGCUCCUAACUCUGUGCCAGCAGGAGCGGUAAUACAGAGGCCCCAAGCAUUACCCGGAAUCACUGGGCGUAAAGGGUGUGUAGGUGGUCGUAUUAGUCGAGCGUUAAAUCCCGGGGCUUAACUCCGGA
rnacentral:rRNA from 1 species